UACGAAGGGGGCUAGCGUUGCUCGGAAUCACUGGGCGUAAAGGGUGCGUAGGCGGGUCUUUAAGUCAGGGGUGAAAUCCUGGAGCUCAACUCCAGAACUGCCUUUGAUACUGAAGAUCUUGAGUUCGGGAGAGGUGAGUGGAACUGCGAGUGUAGAGGUGAAAUUCGUAGAUAUUCGCAAGAACACCGGUGGCGAAGGCGGUCUGCUGGGCAGUUGCUGACACUGAUGCGCGACAGCGUGGGGAGCAAACAGG
rnacentral:rRNA from 1 species